UUUAAAGAAAACUCUAACUGGGAACAAGAGACACCCUCUGUUCCCGUGCCCAUACAUGAGUCCUUCACCCUCUGUGCCCACCUCAGUUGAAUUUGUGAAGCCGGCAGAUAUUAAAGUCAUCGCUGCUUUGGGGGAUUCUCUGACAGCAGGCUUUGGUGCUGGUAAAGGACGUGUGYUUGACUACAUGUUUGAGUAUCGCAAGCUGUCAUGGAGGUAGAAAACUUCAAUAAAUAAGUUACAUUUGCUUAAAAACUUAAUUUAAUUUGCCUUAAAAAGCAGAUGCCUAAAAAUAAAUAGCAAAAGUUAAAUUUGUCUCCACUUAUAGCAUUGGAGGUCAGGGGACAUUUCAAGAUGUCAUAACUUUGCCAAACAUCUUGAAGGAAUACAAUCCUGAUCUUAUUGGUGCUUCUUCUGGAAAGACUUUGCCACUGAUGAAGACUUAUGUCAAAAAGUCUGGCUUUAACCUGGCAGUGUCUGGAUCUACGUGUUUGUGAGCUCCUCAGCCUAACUGACAAUAAAAAA